rnacentral:rRNA from 1 species
UCAAUAUAAUUUGAGUAUAAUUUUAUAUUGAGUAAGGUAGAAGUUUAAUAUUUUGUAAUAAGAAUAUUUUUUUUUUAUUAAUUUUUAUGAAUAAAUUUAUUUAAUUAUAGUUUAUUAGUAUUGUAAGAGAAUUAUUUUAUAUUAAAAAAAGAAAAAUUAAUUUUUUGUACCUUGUGUAUCAGGGUUUAUUAAAUAAAAUUUAUUAAUUUAAUUUUCUCGAAUUAAUAAGAGUUAUAUUUAUAUAUUUAUUUUUGUGGAAUAAAAAUUAUUAAUAUAAAUAUAGAAGUGAAACAUUAUUCGAUUAUUAAUAUAUCUAGUUUUUAAAGAAAUAAAUUUAAUUUUUAUAUUAAUAAAAUAUUUAAUUAAAUUUUUUUAAUUUUUUAUUUUUAAUAUGGAAUAUCUUAGGGGAUGAGCUUUAAGAUAAAAAUUUUUAAAGUUUUUAGUUGAUUAUAUUUAGUAGGAUUAUAAGUUUUUAUCUUUAAAAGUGUGUUGUAGCUUUUUUUAUUUAAAUUAUGAUUUUUAUGUAAGUUUUGAAGUUUUUUAUUUGAAUUAAAUUUUUAAUAAGAUAAAUUUUGUAAUAAUGAUAAAAUUAGUAUAAUUUUUUGUUUAAUUAAUUUUAUUUAUAAAGGUUAUUUAAAGGAAUUCGGCAAAACUAUUUUUCACCUGUUUAUUAAAAACAUGGCUUUUUGAGUAUAAUUUAAGGUCUAGCCUGCCCAAUGAAUUUUAAAUGGCCGCGGUAUUUUGACCGUGCAAAGGUAGCAUAAUCAUUAGUUUCUUAAUUGGAAGCUGGAAUGAAAGGUUGGAUGAAAAAAUAUCUGUCUCUAUUUAAUUUGUUUAGAAUUUUAUUUUUAAGUUAAAAAGCUUAAAUUUAAUUAGAAGACGAGAAGACCCUAUAGAGUUUUAUUAAUUUUUUAAAAUUAAUAUUUUAGAAUUUAUUAAUUUAUUUUGAAGAUUAAUUUAAUUGGGGUGAUUGAAAAAUUUAAUAAACUUUUUUUUAAAAAUUACAUUAAUGUAUGAUUAUUUGAUCCUUUAUUUAAGAUUAAAAGAUAAAAUUACCUUAGGGAUAACAGCGUAAUUUUUUUAGAGAGUUCUUAUCGAAAAAAAAGAUUGCGACCUCGAUGUUGGAUUAAAAUAAAAUUUUGGUGUAGAAGCUAAAAGUUUAGGUCUGUUCGACCUUUAAAAUUUUACAUGAUCUGAGUUUAAACCGGUGUAAGCCAGGUUGGUUUCUAUCUCUAUUAAUUUUUAAUAUUUUAGUACGAAAGGACCAAAUAUUUAGUAUAUUAUUUUUUUAUUGAAUAUAUUUAAAA